CCUACGGGGUGCAGCAGUGAGGAAUAUUGGUCAAUGGGCGAGAGCCUGAACCAGCCAAGUCGCGUGAGGGAGUACUGCCCUAUGGGUUGUAAACCUCUUUUGUCGGGGAGCAAAAGCCGGACGUGUCCGGCUGUGAGAGUACCCGAAGAAAAAGCAUCGGCUAACUCCGUGCCAGCAGCCGCGGUAAUACGGAGGAUGCGAGCGGUAUCCGGAUUUAUUGGGUUUAAAGGGUGCGCAGGCGGAUUUUUAAGUCAGCGGUAAAAUCGUGGGGCUCAACCCCAUCCAGCCGUUGAAACUGGGGAUCUAGAGUGUGCGAGAGGUAUGCGGAAUGCGUGGUGUAGCGGUGAAAUGCAUAGAUAUCACGCAGAACCCCGAUUGCGAAGGCAGCAUACCGGUGCACAACUGACGCUCAGGCACGAAAGCGUGGGUAUCGAACAGGAUUAGAUACCCUAGUAGUC
rnacentral:rRNA from 1 species